CUUAUUUCUAGAGAUAGAAAGUUACUUCGGUACAUCGGUGACAGGUGGUGCAUGGUUGUCGUCAGCUCGUGUCGUGAGAUGUUGGGUUAAGUCCCGCAACGAGCGCAACCCCUAUUGUUAGUUGCCAUCAUUCAGUUGGGCACUCUAGCGAGACUGCCGGUAAUAAACCGGAGGAAGUGGGGAUGACGUCAAAUCAUCAUGCCCCUUAUGACCUGGGCUACACACGUGCUACAAUGGUUGGUACAACGAGUUGCGAGUCGGUGACGGCGAGCUAAUCUCUUAAAGCCAAUCUCAGUUCGGAUUGUAGGCUGCAACUCGCCUACAUGAAGUCGGAAUCGCUAGUAAUCGCGGAUCAGCACGCCGCGGUGAAUACGUUCCCGGGCCUU
rnacentral:rRNA from 1 species